GAUUGAGGUAAUGGAUGAUUGAGGUAAUGGAUCUUGUUCAGGUGGUGUGUGCCUAUUGUAUCAUGCACAUACACUCUGUAAAAUAUAUUGCUUCACUAUUUUAUUUUUCACUUUCUGUUUUCUUUUAAUCUCAACUGGAUAAAAUUUCCUUUCUCAUUAAUUGGUAAUUUGUUAUUCUACAUUGCGAUGUUAAGGUACAUGCAUCUGUUGGCAGGACUAAAAGAAAAGGCUUGAGGCCGUAGAAAAGCCUAAAUAGAUUUAGAAGAUGGGCAUUGAUGUGUUGAGAUCUUCAGAUCUGAGCUAAACUUAUACAAGAGGCCAGAUCAUAAAUAAAAUAAGAUAAAGUUUGAGGGUCCUUGCAAAAUUUUUAUGUUGCACUUUAAAUGUCAAUCUCAUCUUGGUUUUUUAAAAAGAGGCUGUUGGGCUUUUUAUUAGAUUUUAUACCAUUGUCUCUAUAGAGCUAUUAUAGCAAGCUCUUCUAUUAUUUCACAACUUCCAGAUUUAGGGUAUUUUUGUAAGAUCUGUCUCAGCUGGAAUAGGUCGCUGAUUAGAUUGUGUUUAUUUUUUUUAGUCUUAUUUUGAGAACUUAUUGGUUUAGAAUAACAUUAGUUGUUUUAGACUUUUAGGUUAUCUUUGUGAGUCCAGAUCCCUAGAUGAAUAGGACUUCUGGGAGUCCAAUGUCUUAAAAUGGUUAGGGCUAUUUUGAGUCUACGAGUACUUAUUCUUGUAAUGCUCUAUCAUUCAGUCAAUAAAAGUUUUUGCAAUUAUUGACUCUUGGUUUAUGUGAUGCAUCUUGAUCAUGGGUUGAUGCACCUUGGGUAUGAUUCCUAAGGAAUUUUAAGGCUCUAUUUGUUUCACAAUCUGCAUUUUCUAGUGUUUGGGACACUCAUGAAAAUGGAUCAACGGAAAAUAUUUUCCUAUUCAAAGGGAAAACUAAAGUCAUUUUUCUUAAAAAUGACU
rnacentral:misc_RNA from 1 species